ACCCCUGUGAAAACUCAAUUUUUUUAAAUGUAGGACAUACACAUCUUAGACUGUAAUAUUUAGAGUUUAAUAAAAAAAUACCCCAACAUCAAGUGUGACCUGUACACAGCAUUGUCAAACUUUUUUUUUAAAAUGCUCUCAAGCCCUGCAACCUGGAACUUUCUCAGCAGAUAUGCAGGCAGACAGACCCUGGCUACAAUGGUAAAGACACCUUCCUUCCAAAUGGGCUUAGGAUAAGGCUACUGGAGAGGCCAGGAGGAAACAUCUUGUUGAAGAAGCAGCCUUGCAGCCUGACCACAUCUGACUACCCACAGGCCACUUCCGAAAGACUGAAAACUUCCCAGUUCUCUAUAAGAGAACUGGAAGCAGGCAUCUAGCCACCCCUUCAGUCCUUCAUAUCCCAGACAAGAGAUUCCACUACCCGAGGCAGUAAUCACAUCCCAAAUACCUGCCCUUUCCACCUCUGUGUUGCGGAAAGACUCAAAUAGAGCUCCAAGAAAGCAGAAACUUGCUGGUCUGGGUUUUCUGUGUAGCAAAAAAGAGAACCAGAGCGUUCUCUUCAAGUCCAGGGAAUGCUUCCCACCAACAACCAGGGGAAGAAAAAGUUGCAUCCUCCUCCCAGGCACCCUUCUUUCAGAUCGCCUUUCCACAAUCCUUUGAUUCAGACCUCCUCUGCUGCUCGCCUCCCCCCCAGCUGCUCUGGAGGCAGAGACCCGAAUCAGAAAGUGCCAGACAGAGAAUUCAGUUCUGUGGCCAAGAAGCUAUUUGUUCUUGGGUGAGUUCCACAGUCUUUUUGGGCCAUUCUUUCUUCUGCAACAUGGAGAACUAGGGGAGAACACUAAUGAUCGUGUUUACACGAAAUGAUUUGUGUGGGCAAGUAACGCGGAGUCCAGCCUACUGGGCAUGCUCAAGAUAGUGCACUCUGCUGUGAGCAAAUGGAAGCAACCCCGGGUGACUGUUUCUGAAAGGGUGCUAACUGAAGGUCGAAGAUCUUUUCUACUACAUCAACGAUUUUUAUAGACAGCAUACAGCCCAUCCUUGUGACUGAUGCAGAUUCUUCUGUCGCUGUUCUUGAAGAUCGAAGCAGGAGCAAGGAGUUUAAGUAAGAAUCUCAGGCUGGCUUGGAAGCUGACGCAAUGGAGAUGGCUUACGCACCUGAACUGUGUUGCCACACAGGGAAUGAAACCAUCUAAGGAUCUAAACAAGAACCACCAAAGGCUCAGCACUCGCUACAGUGUUGCUUAUGCUACAAUGAGGUGUUAAGCCCACUUGUAGAUAGGAAAUUAAGUCACCCAGGCCCGUGAGAAGUAUCAGAUCCCUCAUAUUCAUUGAGAGCCUCAAUCCUUUCUUUCAACCUCCCUCUUGUUUUCACUCAAUUUAGGAGAGCUGGGGACCGAACCCAGGGCCUUGUGCUUCCUAGAGACUUCCGGGCCCCUGGCUGCUGUAGGACAAGCCCCCCAAGAAACAGUGACUCCCCACAAUCUACAGCUGCCAAAAUUGUUGCCCUAGUCUCACAGAACUGCCCUGGGCACAAACUGACCAGCAAUGGCCUUUCGAGGAAGCGAAGAUGCUUGUGAUAAAUUCUCUUCCAGACAGUUGGACAUCUGCUCUCCUUAGAGGGACGACUUCUAUGGUAGAAGCAUCUACUGUCUACUUGCUGCCCUGAGGACUGCUGUCAGAAUAAAACCCACAGGGGCAGUUAAGGCUUUGUGUGAGAGAAUAUGGAUUCUAGAAGCUUCCUUGAGACGUAUGAAUGUUCUCAGGGGGAGAGGAGGAGGGAUACUUUGUACCUGCUAGCGAUUCCUUUCAAACUUGCUCCCUUCUGUUCCCUGAGGCCUCCCUGUUAUUAUGAUUUUUUAGUCAUUUAUUUUUGUGUUUCACUUAAACCUCUUGUUCGUCGUUGAUGUGCAGACUUUGGGUCUGGUUAAUUUUAGUCCAUGAUGUUCUUUAUUCCCAGGUUUUUUUUUUAUAAUAAAGUUUAUUUUAAAAAUCAA